CCAGACUCCUACGGGAGGCAGCAGUGGGGGAUAUUGCACAAUGGGGGAAACCCUGAUGCAGCGACGCCGCGUGGGUGAAGAAGCGCCUCGGCGCGUAAAGCCCUGUCAGCAGGGAAGAAAAUGACGGUACCUGAAGAAGAAGCCCCGGCUAACUACGUGCCAGCAGCCGCGGUAAUACGUAGGGAGCGAGCGUUGUCCGGAUUUACUGGGUGUAAAGGGUGCGCAGGCGGCUCUGCAAGUCAGGCGUGAAAGCUAGGGGCUCAACCCCUAAACUGCGCUUGAAACUGUGGAGCUUGAGUGAAGUAGAGGCAGGCGGAAUUCCCGGUGUAGCGGUGAAAUGCGUAGAGAUCGGGAGGAACACCAGUGGCGAAGGCGGAUGACUGGACGGCAACUGACGGUGAGGCGCGAAAGCGUGGGGAGCAAACAGGAUUAGAUACCCGAGUA
rnacentral:rRNA from 1 species